rnacentral:rRNA from 1 species
AUUGAACGCUGGCGGCAUGCCUUACACAUGCAAGUCGAACGGCAGCGGGGGAGAAGCUUGCUUUUCCUGCCGGCGAGUGGCGAACGGGUGAGUAAUACAUCGGAACGUGCCCUGUAGUGGGGGAUAACUAGUCGAAAGAUUAGCUAAUACCGCAUACGACCUGAGGGUGAAAGUGGGGGACCGCAAGGCCUCAUGCUAUAGGAGCGGCCGAUGUCUGAUUAGCUAGUUGGUGGGGUAAAGGCCUACCAAGGCGACGAUCAGUAGCUGGUCUGAGAGGACGAUCAGCCACACUGGGACUGAGAGACGGCCCAGACUCCUACGGGAGGCAGCAGUGGGGAAUCUUGGACAAUGGGCGAAAGCCUGAUCCAGCAAUGCCGCGUGUGUGAAGAAGGCCUUCGGGUUGUAAAGCACUUUUGUCCGGAAAGAAAUGGCUCUGGUUAAUACCUGGGGUCGAUGACGGUACCGGAAGAAUAAGGACCGGCUAACUACGUGCCAGCCGCCGCGGUAA